rnacentral:rRNA from 1 species
UAUCAGCAAGUCGAGCGAACAGACGAGGAGCUUGCUCCUCUGACGUUAGCGGCGGACGGGUGAGUAACACGUGGAUAACCUACCUAUAAGACUGGGAUAACUUCGGGAAACCGGAGCUAAUACCGGAUAAUAUAUUGAACCGCAUGGUUCAAUAGUGAAAGACGGUUUUGCUGUCACUUAUAGAUGGAUCCGCGCCGCAUUAGCUAGUUGGUAAGGUAACGGCUUACCAAGGCAACGAUGCGUAGCCGACCUGAGAGGGUGAUCGGCCACACUGGAACUGAGACACGGUCCAGACUCCUACGGGAGGCAGCAGUAGGGAAUCUUCCGCAAUGGGCGAAAGCCUGACGGAGCAACGCCGCGUGGAGUGAUGAAGGUCUUCGGAUCGUAAAACUCUGUUAUUAGGGAAGAACAAAUGUGUAAGUAACUAUGCACGUCUUGACGGUACCUAAUCAGAAAGCCACGGCUAACUACGUGCCAGCAGCCGCGGUAAUACGUAGGUGGCAAGCGUUAUCCGGAAUUAUUGGGCGUAAAGCGCGCGUAGGCGGUUUUUUAAGUCUGAUGUGAAAGCCCACGGCUCAACCGUGGAGGGUCAUUGGAAACUGGAAAACUUGAGUGCAGAAGAGGAAAGUGGAAUUCCAUGUGUAGCGGUGAAAUGCGCAGAGAUAUGGAGGAACACCAGUGGCGAAGGCGACUUUCUGGUCUGUAACUGACGCUGAUGUGCGAAAGCGUGGGGAUCAAACAGGAUUAGAUACCCUGGUAGUCCACGCCGUAAACGAUGAGUGCUAAGUGUUAGGGGGUUUCCGCCCCUUAGUGCUGCAGCUAACGCAUUAAGCACUCCGCCUGGGGAGUACGACCGCAAGGUUGAAACUCAAAGGAAUUGACGGGGACCCGCACAAGCGGUGGAGCAUGUGGUUUAAUUCGAAGCAACGCGAAGAACCUUACCAAAUCUUGACAUCCUCUGACCCCUCUAGAGAUAGAGUUUUCCCCUUCGGGGGACAGAGUGACAGGUGGUGCAUGGUUGUCGUCAGCUCGUGUCGUGAGAUGUUGGGUUAAGUCCCGCAACGAGCGCAACCCUUAAGCUUAGUUGCCAUCAUUAAGUUGGGCACUCUAAGUUGACUGCCGGUGACAAACCGGAGGAAGGUGGGGAUGACGUCAAAUCAUCAUGCCCCUUAUGAUUUGGGCUACACACGUGCUACAAUGGACAAUACAAAGGGCAGCGAAACCGCGAGGUCAAGCAAAUCCCAUAAAGUUGUUCUCAGUUCGGAUUGUAGUCUGCACCUCGACUAUAUGAAGCUGGAAUCGCUAGUAAUCGUAGAUCACAUGCUACG